UUUUGCUCCUCUACAACAUGGUGCUCUGCUACAGAUUGUUCAAUUUCUCUAGAAAGCAGUGAUGGUGGUGCUACUGGUGGCUGCUCUUGGUCAAUUAACUUUAGAAGAUUUUCUUUCUCCAAAUGUAUUGCUUUAACAGUUUUAUUUGUUGUCAGCAUAGUCGUUUUCUACUUGCCAUGGCUGAUAAUGAUCCAGGUUUACUAAAUGUC
rnacentral:lncRNA from 1 species